CCCGUUCCGCUGCCGGCUCCCCGGGGCCGAGGCGAUGCCCUGGCUUCCGGGCGGCGGGCGCCGCGGAGCGGAGUGCGAGUUCCAGCCUCCCGUCUUUGUGUCUUACUGCCGCGCGUUGACACUUAAGCAACUUUGGGGUUGGGGGUUGAGCGCAGUGUGUGUAGUUCAUUCUUUUUUGGCAUGCAGAAGUAUUAGUUUAAAACAAAUGAAUGGAGCGAGGUCGUUUUACUCUUAGAGAUUUUCCCGCGGAGUGAGGUCAGUUCCCCUGAAGGGUAUGUGUGAGGCCGUAGUGUCUAACUGUUGUGCAGUGGAGCAGACUCAGCUCUGAGUGGGUCCUGAGCAAAGCGUGCGUUUGUGUUUACGGAUUACUAGUGUUACUGCUGCAUUUGGAGACUCAGUGAGGCAGGGCUGCAGUAGUUUGGCUCUCAGUUCCAGUGCAGGUGUGUUGAAAGAAGGCACAGCAGUAUUCAAUUGGUAAUGUCCUGAGGGGAGAAGAAAUGACUUCAGAAUCGGAAAGUUUGGUGGUUGUGCCGCUCUUGCCAGUUCUUGUCAGAUCUUGAAUUAGUCAGAUUUAUAAUCUUAAUCUUUUUGAGUUUCAAUGUUACCUUGUACAGAGGAGAUGAUGAUAAUUUUCCUUAUGUAUUUCAGAAGGUUGCUCUGAGACCCAAAUUACCCUGUGAACAUGAAAUGCUGGUACAAUAUAAGGAGUUUUGGUAUUUUAAAGGAUGUCAGUACAAUUUAACACUGCGUUGUCUAAAAAUAUAAAUAAAAAUGAAAUGUUAAAACAAAUAUUUUCAAAUAGAAAAUAAAUAAAAACAAUGAUAUGUAAAAAUAAACAUACAAAUAAAAUUCUUAAGGUCACAACACUUGUAGAUAAGCCAGUGUAAGAGAUCUUAGCUGUUACAGUAUAUAGGUCUUGUUUUUACAUGGGAUACGAUUCUUGACCUUGUUAGUAUCUUUUGGAAAAAGUUGCACAUUGCCCGAUCUAAAAAUAGUGUGAGGGCUCCUCAACAAGCUAACGCUACUGCGAGUCCUUUGAAUUAACGUUUUUUAAUUGCUGCAGGCCUGUGUGGACCCUGGACUUAAAAACUAGUUCACUUUCGAAAAUAGUGUAUCAUCUAAGUAGAAUAAUGUGGGUUACACCAUGUUUAAAAUUUGAUGGCAUUUUGUAAUGAUAAUUUAAUCAUGUACUGACACUUACCUAUUAAAAUCUUAAAAAGGUAGCACUUAUGUUCAUCAAACAUAGGUGACAUUCAGUAGAGAGAACAUUGACUCAUGGCAGUUUGUGGAAUAAAUGUCAGACACAUUUGGUUUUAUUCAAUAUAGUAGGACUGGGACUACGUCAUGUUGGAUUCUGCAGAUAUCUUUUAGGUAUCCUUUUAAAUAUUUCAGAACGGUUUUACCAGGUUUCUGUAUUCCUGUUAUCACCUCCGAUGGUCAGUUUUAAAAAUUUGUUACCAAGUCAGUUGUUGUGUCUUUCAUUUCUGUAUGUAAUUCCUUAUCUUGCAAACAAACAUCUGCCAAAAACUAGCCAAGUAAGACCUAUUGUAGAGAAGUUAUUUUUCCUACUGUCUAGUUAUGUUUAUCCCCGUAAUAAAGUUUGCACUCCUUUGAAGACUGUAGCACCACAGUUAGACUACUUCUGAAUCUAGCCUUAUUCUCUUGGCGCUAGUCGGAGGCUAUGUUUAUACUGUCACAUGUUAUCUGAAAUCACAGAUCCUUUUUCAGCCCCAGCUUGGAGCCUUGAUCAUCUCACUGUAACUUUCAAGUCUAUUUCCACCUUGAUAUUUCUUGCCACUUCCUUGCAUUUUUACUAGCAGUGGUCUGUCUUCUUUACCUGUUGCUCCUCUGGGUCCUAAUUUCGCUGUCUGGCCAGCUUGAUUUUGUCAGCUAAGUGAACAAAAUGACAGGAAGCCUUUCUGUAACAUCAUCACAGAAGUUGGCCUUUCCCAGUUAUUGUGUCACAUCACCUAUUUCUAACUUAGACAGUCUGUAAUUCUAUUAUUGUAUUUGUUCGAAAACAAAUGUUUUCAAACAGAAGGUGUUCUUCAUGAAUAAGCUGUCUUGUUUAUGCCUUUCUGCUCAUUUUCCAGUGUGAUACUCAGUAUACAAUAAAUAGUCAGUGCAUUUGAAUCAGUGAAUAAAGUAUCAAAAAGAGUGAGUUACAACUCUGCCUUUUACUAGCUGGCGACUUUGGGUAGUUAAUCUCUCUUUUCAGUUAUCUUUUUAAAGUAAAACCACUUCAUAGUACCCACCUUAGUGUCUUGGUGAAGACUGAAGGUGCUGUUUAGCAGCUGGCCGCUGCCUUUCACUGACUUGUCUUGAGAUGAAGGACCUGAGUGAUGUGUAACUGUUUGUUACAGGCAUUAGAAUUUAAAAGGCAAAGAAGGAGAAUGGCUGCGUUAAGAGGGACUUCUAAUCCUAGUUUUGUGAGGAAUCUCCACACCGAUGUCCACGGUGGUUUCACCAGUCUACA